AGUGGGCGCAGGCGAGUGCUGGCACAAGCAUGGAAGUUUCCUUGAACAUCUAUUCGACAUGUACAAGAUUCUCAAGCUCUGGAAGGCCCAAGAAUCGGUAUGUCUCUGCGGCCUCUUCCACUCUGCAUACUCCAAUUCCUAUGUCAACCUCGCCAUCUUCGACCCCUCCACCGGCCGCGACACCGUCCGCGCCCACGUGGGCGAUGCGGCCGAGGAGCUCAUAUAUUUGUUUUGUGUCGUCCCGCGGCAGCCCCUCAUCCACGAUGAUCUCCUCUUCCGGUAUAGUGACGAUGAGCUGGUGGAGCACCUCAAGGCUUCGGAGGUUUCGGUGAGGAAUGCUAAGGAGGGCGGUGUGUUUAAUGGAGAUGAGGCUUGGAGGAAGAAGGUGAAUUCCCUUGUUCCUCCUGGUGGGGUUACGGUGAAGCACAUCAAGACUGGUGAAGAUGUGUUGGUGUCGAGAAGGGUUGUGGCCAUUUUCGUGAUGAUGACAAUGGCUGAUUUCAGUGACCAGCUUUACGGGUUUCAGGACGCCUUGUUUGACAAUUCUAAUGGCCAACUUGAGUUUUCUGGCAACAGCUUUGGAGCUUUGUGGCCUGGGGAUGGCAAGCCUGGUCUGUGGUUGAAUUCAAUAUCAAGAAUGGGUGCGGUUUACUCAUUGCUAGUGAGGGAGGAGGAGAUUUUCAUCGAAGAGAGGAAAAGAGUUGGUGGGGAUCAAGUGGUGAAAGGCCGAGAUGAGGAGUUAGAGCUUGUGAUACCACCGGUUUUGGAGAACUGCACGAGGGUUUUGGGCGCAGAGGAGCAAAUAGAAGCAACAGAUCUGUAUUGGGAAGCUGUUUGUGAAGGGUCAAAGAGAGGGUUGGAUUGGGCUGAGAAGUUGUUGGGGAGGUGUGUCGAGAAGAACCCAUUUGUGGGGGAGCCACAUGUGGUGUUGGCUCAGAUUUACUUGACAAAUGGGAGGUUUGAGGAGGCCGAGAGAGAGGCUGAGAAGGGGCUGAAGCUCAUGCUGGAGUGGGGGAAUCCAUGGGACAAGAGGAUGACUUGGGAAGGAUGGAUUGCUUGGAACAGGGUUUUGCUGAUGAAGGCUAAGGAGAGGUCAUGGCCAAACACUUCUUGGGGCAUCCUCAACUUAGGGCUUGUCAAGUAAAUCAUUGAUGCAUACAACACAUUUAGAAGACCAUCUUCCUCUUCCAUCUGAUUUAUGAAUCUACCGUGAAUAAAUGCUUUUAAUUUUAUUAAACUAUGAAUUGUGAAGCAAUCAAAAGAUGAUGGUUGUGUUUGAGUGCAGGUCAUUUUCUAUGAAUAAAUUAAUGGUUGUGUCAAGAAUUAGGCAUGUCUUCUACUAAAAUAUUGGAAGUGAUGCACUAUUUGCCCGUUUCCUAGUUUGGUUGCUUUGUGAAUGGUGGGUGGGGAACCUCAAUGGUAAAUCCAAAUGCAAGAAAGAACGGGACAUGUAUGGCCCAUAGAUCCUCAAAAUCCGUCAUUGUCUGCGUGUUAGUGCUCUUUUACAGCAUGUGCAGUGUAUGGUUGCCUCUCCAUGGAAGUUAUGACCCACUUUCCUUUCUAUAAGCAUUCCCUUCCAAAAACAUCUAAGGAUCUUGGUUUUUCUUCGCACAGAACAAAAUAAAAAGAAAAUCAUAUGAGAUUGAAGAUAAAUGAAAUAAAAUAAAAGAUUAUGUAAUUCACAAGUUAGUAAGGUAAUCACAUGCAUAUUUAAAGUUAAAACAAUACACGCAAUUUUCUAAUAAAUAAGUAAAUAAAUAAAUAAUUAAACAAAACAAAUAUAAUUAUUAAAUGAGUAAAUAAAUAAAUCAAAACAAUUCAAACAUUUUUUUAUUAAGUCAAUAAAUAAAUAAAUAAAACAAAAUAGAUAUAAUUAUUACACACAUGCAAUAGAAAAAACUAAAUGUUAAAAUGAUGCGAUAAUCAAAUAUAAAAAAUCAAACUCACAUAAUUAAAUAUUGAAAACUCACCUCAAGCAAUCAAAAUCAAGCCAUAUACUCACUCAAACCCGAAAACCAAGCAAUCAAAAUGAGAAAUGAAACCUAAGUGAAUUGAGCCUAGUGAAGUUUCUAAGUAAUCCCAUCCUAGAAAAUGUAACCAAGUGCCCUUAGUGGAAAGUGUCUAAGUAAUCUAAGUGGAAAAUGUCUGAGUAAGCUAAGCUUGAAAUUUAACCUAAGGUCCACCUAAGUGAGUUAAGUGGAAACACAACUAAGUGAAACUUAAUGUAAGCUUGAAAGGCAGCCAAGGUCAUGACAAUGAGGGUUCAAAUGAGCCCUUCAAUGAAGGAUUCCUAAAGAUGGGCCAGAAAAAAUAGGUCAUAUGAGUGUCAAUAUGUCACCAAGGGACGACUACAAGUUAAGAGAGAAGCAAAGGAAAGCACCUAGUAUCACAUGUGCUAAGAUAACAAAAUGGAUGAUCUAUAACAAUAUUGUACCAUUUUCCUUUUCAACUAGGGAUGGUAAUGUUGCCCAAACUAUGUGCCAACAUUUGGAGACAAAAAAAAAAAAAAAAAAAAUCGCCUCCCAAUGCAUAAAGAAUCCUUUAAAGACAAAAUAAUUUCGUCUUCUAAUGAAUUCUUACAUCUCCAAAUAAUUAACCAUCAUUUUUUAAUUCAUUUCACGACAAAAGUUACGAAUUUGCGUCACAAAAAUUUUCGUUGAAAAAUAUAUUUGGUUAUAAUUUUAUUUUUUGUAACAAGAUAAAUAAUUUUAGAGAUGAAAUAGUUUGUCUCUAAGAGUUCAUUUCAUAUUUGGAAUAUGAAUGAAAGUAAGAACAUAAAUAAAGGUGAAUUACAAUAAUACAUAAGAGAGGGAAUUUUUUAAACAUAUUAUCAUAGCAUUGGGGUAUUUCCUACACUCAACAUAAAAAAUCUUUCAUACCACAACAUCUAUCACUUUGGUCUUUUUUUUUUUUUUUUUUUUUUUUUUUUCAUUUUUGAGAAAUCAAAAGUUGUUUUUUAGACUCAAUAAGAACUUAUAUGUUUGUUUGUCUAAUAAACGAUCAUUAAUACCACAAAACUUGACACUUCAGGCCUUACUUGGAUUGACUUUUAAGAAGUAAAAAGCUUUAUUUUAAGCUUAAUAAGAACUUUUAUAUCUAUUUGACUAAUUUUAUUUAAAGAGCUUAUGACUUACAAAAAAUAUUAACAUUAAAGUUAGCAAAAUAUUACUUUUUGUAAAAACUUUAUUUUAACUUCUACAAGAAGUUUUUCAUGUUUGAUAAAACUUUUACACUACUAAUAUCACUGUUUAAAAAUUAUGACUUUGAUUUUAGUUUUAGUUUUUUGUUAAAACCUAAAAUAAAAUAAAAAAUUAUGCCCUUUAUCUUUAUGUGGAGUAGGAUUAAGUGUCUAGGAACUAAACUAGGCUUAGCACAAUAUAGUAAGCAUAACCUACUUGUCAUUAAUGAUAGAAGAAACAAUAAUACAUAUAUUAAAGUUGUUUUAUUGAAAAAUUUUAUUAUAUAUACAAAUUUUAAAACUCAUUACUAUUAAAAAUGAUGAUACAUCUGUUAGGAUAGAACUCUUAAAAGCAUGACAUGAUGUAAUAAACUUUUGGUUUUUAUUAUUUAUUUAAUAAAAUUCUAGUUCACCUUUAUCUAUCAUAUUUCCACGCCUUAUAUCUUGUAAGCAUUCUAGUUUGUAUCUUUUGCAUUGUACAUGACUUGGGUGCAUUAGGAGUAGCACGGAAGAUCUAAGUCAUGGGUUCUUUGUAAAUAUAUGACUUGUUCAUAAUCGGUUCAUGGGUCUAGGUAACCCAUUAGAAGAUGUAGUGCAUCACCUCCUAAUUAGAGGGAGGACUGGUCUUGGCUAUUGGGGUGAGUCUCUUAUGGUAAGUGCACUGGUGUGUAUGGUCGCACAUUGGAUAAGACCUAUGGUGAGUUAUGACUUAAGACUAUCAAGUAGUUAUGAUAUCACCAAGUUGCUUCAUUGUGUUGUCUCUCAACCUUGAGAGAAUAUUGAGAUUGUACUGAAGUUAGUAGUGACUUUGACUUACGGAUAAGAUCGUAAACUGAUCAUGUAUUCCUUAUGGAUUAGGUCACUAUUAAUAGAAGUUGGUAGCAAUAGAUAUUCUCAAUAAAUGCACUAUGAUAUCUCUUGGGAUUGAGACAAUGUGACCCAAUGGGUGAUCUUAAGGAGAUGUGUUCAUGGAAACUAUGGUAAUAGUAGUUUCUUAAGUGAAACUUGACAUAAGCUCUUUGAAAGCUAAAAUAUGUCAAUUGAGCACACAAUAGAAGGAUUUGUAAUUCAAGGAUGGUAGAGGUAGUCUUGAAAGGCCGAUAGUUUUCACCUUGUUAAACUACGAACACUAGUUCAUAGGGAGACUGAACACAAUGGAUAGCAUGUCACAAACCCGAGCACUUGGCGUCUCGUUGUUAUUUACAUAGAAUACUAGAGUUCAGUUGAUUCUAUGUGGUGGGAUGUUGAAUCAACUUCAAAAUUGGAUUUUGAGGAAGUCGAUAUUACUAUGAGCUCAUAUACCUUGUUGGCACGGGUUAUGAAAGUUGAAUUGACUCUACGUUCACUUUUGUGCAUAAGGGCAUUUUGAUAAUUAUGCAAGGUUGCACAAGAUUAAGUGAACAAGGUCUCUAGAUUAUGCUAAUUGAUUAAUUAGUAGGUCUUGUCAAGUUAAUUAAUUAAUUAGGAACCGUUUUGGGUUAGAUUAAGUGACUCAAACCCUUAGUGGGCUCAAGUCACCUAAGCCCAAUAAGAAGCCCUAUAAAUAUCGCCUUAGGGGUUAGGGUUCUCAUAACCUUUUCUAGAGAGUUGUCUUCCAUUUCCAGAGAGAGAGAGAGGCAUUGCCUCCACUCUCUUUUCCAUCCUCACCAAAAGUGUGUCAAGAUCAAGAUUCGAGUCAUCGAGCGAAAAACUUCAGGUUUACGAGACUUCUGCGAUUUCAUUCUUCAUCUUCAACAUGUGAAUUUGAUUCGGGAACACCUAAAUUUGAGGUAUGGUUUUCAUUAAUACUUUUCGAAUCCCUUUAAAGUUUAAAAAUUCUUUUUUGUUCGCUGAGCAUAGGAUUUAAAAAAAGCCUAGGAUAAUUAUGCAUGUUCUUGACCUAAUUCGGGUUUGGGAAACUAAAAUAUCUGGGGUCUUCCCAUCAAUAUUUAGUUUGAAUAUAUUGGAGGAAAAAAAAUAAUGAUAUUUAGACAACUAUUUUUUAUAUAAAAAUAUUAAUAAUUUUAUUUAUAAAUUUAUAUUUUUCUUCUACUUAAUUAGUAUACAAAAUAUAUGAUAAGAUAAUUAAAAUUAACUUUUUACUUUUAUUGAAUAAGGGUUCGUUUAAUUUUUAUUUAUUUUACUUCUAACUCAUUGAAAAGACAAAAUUCAAAAUAAUUUUAUUGGUAAAGGUGAAAUUAACUUAAUUACUUCUAGAGGUGGUAUGCUCGACCUAUUUUUAAAUACAAUUUUUAAUUAGUAUAUUUAUUUAUGCAACAUAAAUUAUUUUACUAUUGGUUUCCAACACCAUUAAUAAAAAAAAUGUCACCAAUUAAUUUUUAAAAAAAAUACAAGAAAGGAAAAAAAAUUACCAUUAGGUUUUUGACCUAUUUGAACAUUCUUAUCUACUAGUAAGAACAUUUUGAAGGAAAUAAAGAAAACAUGAAGGCUCCAAGUACUUUAGAAAAAUUCCAAGUUUCAAACAAAAUAACACUAUUAUUGAUAUUUUUCUCUUAAAAUCAAGAGAUUGAUGCUUUUAUUUUUUAUUCACUAAUCUCUUUUUGAUGAUCAUUUUCUUCACCAAUGUCAUAAGCACAAUUUUUUUUAUAACCAAAUUAAGGUUUAUAAUUUUUGUACAUAUCAUACUCGUAACCAUCAUAAGGCAUCACUCUCUACUUUCUUGCCAAACCAAAAGAUACAUAUGAAAAAUAUGUAAAUACUUUCCACUUUUUCUUUUACUAACUCGAUGGUUGAAAUGAAAUCUAAUAAUUUGAUACAAUAUAUCUAUGAGAUACAAAUUUAUCAAAACCCAUAAAUAUUGAGAAAACUCCAUAAAAUGAUAGAAGAAACAACAAUACAUAUAUUGAAACUAUUUUAUCGAAAAGUUUACUAUAUAUACAAAUUUAAAAACACAUCACUAUUAAAAACGAUAAUAUAUUUGAUUUGAAUAUAUUGAAGAAUAAAAAAAAUUAUGAUAUUUAAAUAAGUAUUUUUUAUAUGAAAAUAUUGAUAGUUUUAUUUAUAAAUUUAUAUUUUUUUGUAUUUAAUUAGUAUAAAAAAUAUAUAAUAAGAUAAUUAAAAUUAACAUAUUUAUAGUAAGUUUAUUUCAAUUAAUUAAUAAUAUAAUAUAUAAAAGAUAUUAUAAUGUACUACCGCAAUGUCACAUGGGCAAGCGGAAGAAAAAUAAAGGGAGAAUUACCCUUAAGGGUAGGCUGGGGAAAAAAAUGACUGAAAAGGGUGGGUAAGUUUGAUAAUUCCUUUGAAGGCCUUAUAUUUUCAUUAGACUAAUUUACCCUUGCUCCAUUUGGAUCUGCCUCGAUUUUUCCUUUCAUUUCUUCCAUUCUUUCCCAAACUUACACCCCCCCUUCUUUCCAAAUCCUCAAUUCGAAACAAACCCUAAAUUCCUCGAAACAAGCAUAGAAACACAUAAAACCCAAAACACACAAAAUUUCACCUCGAAUCGACGGCCUCCGACUGCACAGUCUUCUCCACUUCAUCCACAGCCGAAUCAGCCCCUGCGUGAUUCCUCCUCAACCACUGCUGCUGAUUCUGCUGCUGAAACUGCUGGUAACUUUGCCCUACAUUCCUUUGAAAAUCGACGGCCUCCGACUGCACAGUCUUCUCCACUUCAUCCACAGCCGAAUCAGCCCCUGCGUGAUUCCUCCUCAACCACUGCUGCUGAUUCUGCUGCUGAAACUGCUGGUAACUCUGCCCUACAUUCCUUUGAACGUAUUGUUGCUGGUUAGGGUUCCGAUAUUGAAAAUUAGGAUUGGGGCCGCUAGGGUUUGCGGUCCCCAUUCCGUACUGUUGAUGGGAGGUUUUCUGUAAAUUUUUUGGUGUUUUAAUGUUCGUGUUUUUGCAAAUAUUAAAUAUUAAAAUAUUAAUUUUAAUAUUAAAAUAGCUUAGAUUUUAUUUUAAUUUUUCUAGCAUGACUUUGUAUAAUCUAUUAGUCUAUAAUUUUAAUUUCAUUUCAUUUUCUUAGUAUAUCUUUAUUCUUUAAUUUUUCAAAAUUGUUGAGGAAUGUGUUUUCUUAAACUUAGAAAAAAUCAAAUUAAAAUAGAAUACGAAUAGUGAAAAGAAAAAAAGAUCCCUGAGAAGAACUUGUGGAAAAAAGAUUUAGGCAAGAAAAUGAGAAAAUUGGAGAAAGAAAUGAACUUUCCCUUCAAUUUUUUUUUACCUAUAUCAAAUAUCAAAUUUGAUAAUCAAUUCAUAUUAAAAAUCAUAUGGUAACGGUGAAAGGUUAUCGAAAUUUUUUUCAUACAAUUAAUUGAUAAGGUUAAUUUUAUUGAUCUUUUAUGAGAUUUUGAUGAAAUACAUCUAACUUUCAUUAAUUUGAAAUAUCAAUAAAUAUUUUUUUUAAUUCAAAAUAAGAAAGAUAUUUCUUAAAUUUUCAAAUUAUUGAGAAUCAAUUGUAUUUAAUUAAAACAUUCGAAGAAGAAUGACAACGAAAAUUAACCUUUUCAAGUAUCACAAUUUUACCUGAAUACUAUGAGGCAAAAGAAAUCGGGCACUGUUGCUUGUGAUCUUUGACACAUUCCGUGUGAUGAGGUGCGAGAGGCAAUCUCCAAAUAAAGCCUAUUUCUAUUUUCUACCCAUUUGCUAUUUCUACAAGGAAUUUGGUGAAAAAGGAAAGUUGUUGUCAGCACCCCCACCACAAUUAUUAAAGGUUUUUAUUAUUUUUUUGGGUAAGCAUUGAGCAACAAUCACGAAAUUAUAUUUAAUACAAAGAAAAUAUUAAAUAUUAAAAUAGCUUAGUUUUAGAUUUUAUUUUAAUUUUUCUAGCAUGACUUUGUAUAAUCUAUUAGUCUAUAAUUUUAAUUUCAUUUCAUUUUCUUAGUAUAUCUUUAUUCUUUAAUUUUUCAAAAUUGUUGAGGAAUGUGUUUUCUUAAACUUAGAAAAAAUCAAAUUAAAAUAGAAUACAAAUUUGAUGGGUUUGAUGUGUCAUUGUUUAACGUGAAAUCAUUAUGUAAUUAUUUUUGGUUUUUUUUAAUGGUUGGAAUUUGGGGUUUGGCGUAGGUUUUCGAUUAUGCUGGGAUUUUGAGAUGGCAUUUUCAUGUUUGGGCUGAGAUUAAUUUUGGUUUUUGAAGUUAUCAAAUAGUGAGGUUUUGCUCAAUAUCCACUGGGGUGUUUUGAUUUGAACACUUUUGGGCAUGUGCAUAAUGGCUUAGAAAAUGUUGGAUUGAAACAUUAGUCACUGAGUUUAAUUUAUUUCCUUUGAUCUUUGGAGGAAUAUGUUUGUAUUCCAUAGAUUUGGGAAACUUGUAUUUUUGCAUUUAAUAUAUUAGAGAAUUUUGAGGUGGUGUUGGUGCUUUUCUUGAAAAUGGCAUUGUAACCAUCUACCCAAUCUGAAUAGAGUAGGACUAAUUUUUGGUUUCACUACGGUUACUUUGAUUUUUUUCAUGGGCUGUUUGGGCAUGUGUUUCUUGGUUUCAAAAGCUCAGUUUGAACUGAAGAUGUGAUAGGUAUCAAACAUUGGGAAUUUGAUGUUGACAAUUUCAGUUGGUCCAAGGAAUAUGCUUUUGUUGAAUAGAUUGGUGGAAUUGAGCUAAUGUUGAUUCUCUUGUUGAAAAUGAUGUUGACAAUUUCAAUGGCUCUGUGUGUUUUUAGUAGCAUGUAUGUAACUGUAUUUGGGAUCACUAAUAGUAGUUAAACCAAAAUAAAUAAUAGUACAAUACAAAUGCCCUACAUUUACAAUACAAGUGCACUAGAAGUACAAUAUAUUACAACAUUACUUGAUUCAUUAUACAUUUAAUUAUGACAAUUGAUUAUUUGAUAUAAAUUCCAUAGUGCAGUGUGGAGUAUAAUACAUGGAUAAAAGGAAAAAAACAAUACAAUACAACCAGGUUUGAACAUUAUUUUAAUUAGUAUUCUUUUAUUUUGACUAUAUUAAUGUUUGACAUUGUUGUUUAAUUUGACCGUUUUAAUUUUAAUAUUAUAUUAUCAUUUAUUUACUUUUACAGGAGAUCAAAAUAAAUAGUCGAUGCUCCAGCAAAAAACUUAGACAUCUACUUGAUGAGCUAAGUGAUGAAAAGAAGAGUAUAAUUCAACAUAUUGGCUUUGGUGGAUUACUUCAGCUCUCUUCCACAGAGAUAAGGCAUAGCUUAUGUAGAUGGAUAAUAACUCAUUUCAAUAUAGCCCACUGUAGGUUAGACAUAGGACAAGAAAGACAAUUUCCAAUAACUUGUUCUGAUGUAGGUGAAAUUCUGGGUAUUCCAUAUAUUGGUAGGAGGCUCCUACUUUCACCUACCAAUAGGAAUAAUAGGAUGGAAAACCUAUCAGAUCUUAGAGAGAGGCUGAUUUUAAUGGAAGACAUGGUCGAGUUCAAAAAAUUGUUUAUCUUCUUCUCAUGUGCUACAUUACUUGCUCCAACAUCAAAGUUGGAUGGUAGUCAUGAGUUGUGGUGUACUUUGAUGGCUGGAGACUUUGACAUCAAUGUUAAUUGGGGUCAAUUUGUACUUGACACACUGGUUGCUGGAAUUAGACAUUUUCGAUUGGGUAAAGGCUCAUGGUUUACAGGUUGCCUUAUUUUUUUACAGGUAGAUACCUUUUUUUAUUAAAUGCUGAAGGUUUCCAUAUCAUUUUCUAUGUUUUAACAAGUCUUUUCUAAAUAACGUAUUGAUGUGUGGAAUAUUUGUGUUUCAGCUUUUUUAUGUAAAUAAAUUUUACAUUCCAACCAUGUUGGUGCCACGUACCAUCCCAAUAUGUGCAGCGUGGACUGAUGACUUGAUGAAGAAAAGGGUGCAUGCCGAAUUGCAUGAUUAUGGUGAUUAUGGACUAGCUGAUGUAAAAGACAAUUUUCUUUCAACAUUUUCGUUUAUUUUCAUAUUUGAAAAUUAAAUUUAUAAAAAUUAUAUAUUCUUCUUUUUAUUAUUGUAGGUUCAAGAAGAUGAAAGGGAAGAAGAUGCACAUGAAGACCCUGGUAAUCCAAUAAAUGAAGUUGAAGAAGAGACUACUGAUGUGAGAACCUUCUACAUCUAUUCUUUUAUUUAAAGAGAAAACCAAACAUGUUAUGCAUAAUAAUAUAAAUCUUUGACACUUUGUACCAUUUUGUAGGAAAUUAUAGCAGAAUAUAAUGCAGCGGAGAGACAAAUUCACCAAUUGCUGCGAACAAUGAGAGGAGCAAUUGAUAAACUAGCAAAGCGGCAGAAUACAAAUAAAACCCCAUCAUCUUCUCAUCAAAGUAGAAGUCAUAAUCAACCUGAUAUCAAUGAUUCUUUCCCAUCACCACCACAUGGUAGUACGAUUUUUAUAGCACUCGUCAUUAUAAUUUUGUAUAACUUUUAAUUUAAUUGCAAAUGUUGUAUAAUUUUUUUUUUGGGAAAAUUAAUUUUGGUUAUUAUGCAUUCUGAAAUUAGCUUAUGGAUCGCCACUGAAUGAUCGUUUUGCUGAUGGUGAAGAUAAUGUAGGCCCAUCAACCUCACAGCCAGCAGCGCAGCAUAGCAGUAUACUUUCUGCUUCUUUAUGGUUUAAUAUCAAAAUAAUAACGAGUAUAUAAUAAUGGAUAGUAUUUCCUGUGCGUGUUAUUUUCAUUAAUGAAUUUUAUUUUCCUUUAUUUUCUAUACAUAUAGUUGAGGAUGAAGUUCAGAUGAAUGCUAUUAUUCCUUACGAGACUGGACAUCCUCCAAUACGUUCAUAUCGGCUACGUCGACAUGCUACUGCCCUUCAAUCACCAUACGUGGUACAACCGUCAAUCAAAUUUUCAGCUUCUUCAUCUGUAGCAAAGCAAGUUUUGGCAUAUGCAUUGGACGAUACACGUGAUGAAAGGUAAGGUUGAACUUAAUUUAGUAUAAACAAAUACAAUUAAGAUAGACAAUUGAAAUAAUUAGUUUUAAUUUCUAACAUCAUAAUUAUUUAUGUGUAGCCAAAUAUUAUGUUCCAUGCACAAUUUCUUCUUGACAAGGUUUGACUUGAAAUGCUUGGGACCCGACAAAUUGGUUGACAAUAAGGUAUUCAUAUUUAGUUAUGUAAAGUUAGGAUAAAAUUACUCUAAAAUUAUAUAUCUAAUUUUCAUUAAUUUACAUGAAGGUUGUAACCAUGCAUUGUCGAAUUUUGAAUGGUAUGGAUAAAGAAAAUAGGAAGCAUUUCUUAUCUCCAAACUUUGUGGUAAGAUAUGUUGUAAGAAUUAUAGAUUGGUUUUCUUGUUUUACGUAGAUUGUUUUAAUCUAAUGUAUGGUUUAUAAUUUUUUUAUUACAGUCUGAUGUGGAAAAGAAGAGGGGUUUCUUAUCUCCAAAAUACAUAUGUGACAAUUUAUGGAAAUAUUUCAAAAAUACUCGGUUGUGCACAUAUGAACAGGUUUUAUUUAGUUUAAUAAAAGUACUUUGUAGUUGGAUAUUUUUAAGUAUUGUGCAGAAAAUACAUGAACACAACUAAUUUGAUAAAAUCAUUGUUUUUCUUUUUUUUUGUUCCUUGUAGUUGUUCAUACCAAUAUGCAGGAAAAAUCAUUGGUAUUUAAUAAUUUUGAAUAUUCAUGCGAAAAGAAUCGAGUUAUUGGAUUCAUUAAUAUAGUUAUAGUCCAAUUACUUAUGUGAAUCGUUGUCAUUAUUUUUUAAAGAUGUCCAUAUUUAUAAUUGUAUAUUGUGUUAAGGUGAACGUUUUGUCAACUGUCAUUGGGAUUCAAGAAAGAAGACCAUCAGUGGACAUGACAGAAUUUGAAUUUGUUGUUCCAGAAUUUGUUGUUCCAGAAGUUGUCCAACAAUUGAAUCCGUAAGUUGCAAGAUUUGUAUUCCUCUUUAACUAUGGAAAGCAAAUCAGGUUAUAAAUUUACUAAUUUGAUACCCAAUUGACUUAAAAUUUCCUUAAUUACUAUUUGCAGAACGGAUUGUGGCAUAUUUGUAAUGAAGUUUAUGCAAUUAUGGAGUAACGGUGGAAUUUCUCGUGCAAUUGCAAAUGUAUUAUAUUGUGGUGAAUAAUAUAUAUAUAUAUAUAUAUAUAUAUAUAUAUUUAUCGUUAAUUUUUCUUAAUAUUAUAUUAUAUACUAUUUUGUACAGGACAAGGUCAUCAAGUACAGGGAAAAACUCCUAACACAACUGAUAAUGUCUCCAGAAAAUGAAGUCAGGGAAAAUGUCUACCAGGCUAUGGAUCAGUGAUGUUGUAAUUUUUUUGGUUUAUAGUUGUUGAUAUUUUUUUGGUUUAAAUAUGAUAUCACUAAUAUUUAAAUUAUAUUCCAGUUUAGGCAUGUAAUCUGUGAAACCCUUUUUGGGUUGACUAAUGGAAACUAUGGAGUACGUUCUUGCAGGUUAUACAGGGCUAAGAAAUUCCCUGUUAUCCUGAUAACACUGCAUGGCAAGUGGAGAAGCCCCACUGCCAGUAAUUAUUGUAUGGUAUAUGUGCUGCUGCAGUUUUAAUCUGUAUAUAGAGUUACUAAAGGAUGAACAUAAGAUGUUUUGUUAUAUGAUCCAGCUUAAAUAGAUCCAUUGUGUACUAACUGCCCUCAUGAGAUGGACAAUAUUCUUGUCAAUAUUAUCUACAUGCAAAUGCAUAUUCUUAUGUAGCUGAUUUUUGCUUCAAUUAUUUCAAUUUGUGAACAAUAUACUUUAUUGUUUUAUGAACAACUAAUAAUGUCUCCAGAAAAUUUCUCUGAAUUGCUGUAGGCAUCAUUCAUCAACGCCAUCACUCACUUACUCACUUGUUUUGAUGGGUCUUUUAAUUAUCUUAGUAGAGGAAAAAUAAUUUAAGCUCAGUUUGGUUAAUAUUUUUUAAACUAAUUUUUAUUCUCUUGAAAAUAUAUAUAUAUCUGAAAUUAAGAUAAUAGGAAAAAAAUUAAAAGGAAAAAAUAAAGUAUUUUUAAAAUUUAUUUUUUAAUUAAUUUUUACUUACUCUUGUCAUAAUUGUUUUAAAAAAUAAUUAUACAAAUAUAAAAAAAAUCAAAAAUAAAACAUAACAUAUACAAAUUAUUUUUAAAAUACAUUCAAAAACAAAGAAACAAACAAAUAUUUGUUUUAUAAAAUAAUAGAUAAUAGUUUUCAAAAAAUUAUUAUAAAAAAUUGUUUUUAAAAAUUAUUUUCAAAAAUAAAUAUCAAAUAAGGUCUUAAACUUUGUUUGAUAACUAUUUUAAAAAAUAAUUUUAUGUUUUUUAAAAAUAUAUUUCAAAUAACUAAAAAAAGGUUUUUUUUUUUGUUCUUAAAAAGGAAAAAUAUAUAUUCUUGAAAAAUAAUGGUAUAAAUAUAAAGAAUAAUUAAAAGUAAAUCAUUAUAUAUAAAAGUUAUUUUUAAAAUCCAUUUAAAAAUAUAGAAAAUAAGUUUAAAAUAUUUUAAGUUUCAAAGUGAUUUUUAUUUUAUAAAACAUAAUGAUUUUUCAAAAAUUACUUUUAAAAACUGUUUUAUAAAAUCAAAACAAAAUCUUAUCCCUUUUUUCGGAGAUCUCUAUAUUUUCUUUCCCCAGCAGUCCCAAAAUUAUACCUAUGCACCUGCAUUUUUAUACUAUGCUUGUUCCCAAAAAUUAAGCCCAUAAAUUAGUUCUAGCUAUACCCAUCAAUGAAAUGACAAAUCAACAAUAAAAAUGGCUCCACGAGAGCUGGACAAAGUGGAGUUCACAGCAAUACAUUGAUAACUGUAGGCAUUGCACUGUCAACUCAUCAUUUCCCAAACUAAUUUGAGGUUACAAAAAAAAAAAAAAAUUAUUGAACCAUUAUAUAUAAGAAAUUGGUAAUCAACCCAAGAAAUUGGACUUUAUUUAGUCAAAAGAUUGCAUUGUUAGUUUAUGUUGUAAUUUAUCAUACAGUUAGUGUUUUUUUAUCGUAAUGUUAGUGAAUUUAUGUUGUAAAUGUAAUUAAAAAUGUAGGCAAAACUGUGAACUAUUAUAAUUAAAAAUCUAAUACAAGUCCACAUAAUGGAGAUAAAUAACCUAUUACAAAUAACUCCAAAUACAAAUACAUCAAAGUACAAUACAAUUAAGCAUUACAUAUAUAAUCCAAAACUUAAUAGACAUGAAGUAAGUGUAUGAUUAAGCAAUUUUCAAACAUAGAACAAAAAAUAAAAGUAGUCCUACUACAAUUACUUUCUACAUGAACUCAAUUCUUGUUAAAAUAUGUUUAAAAUCUUCAUCCACGCCAUACAUUCUUCUUUGAACAACCUCUUCUGGUUCUUGGUAGGUGUUGUCAUCACCAUUUCCUUCCGGGAAUGCCCAUUUAAAGAAAUGACAGUCAUCUCUAGUAUUUGCAUAUUGACAACAAUAAUAUAACCUAUUUGGGUUAUCCUUUGAUUCAGAGAUUCUAACAGUCGCCCUCUGUCUGGGUGAACAUUUACACAUACAGUUAUGAUAAAGUAGAUAUUCACCAUUUCUAGUAUUACCUCUUAUAUUUCUAAAUGAAGCACUUGAAGAUGCCAUGAUGUAACCUGUAUUUCAAUGGAAAACAAGUUAAACAAAUGUAAUGAACAUGUACAAAGUCAAUAAUGAUCUUCAAAAUAACAUUAAAAACAUGGUUAUAAACCACCCUAAAUAAUGAUAAGAUCAUAAGUCUAAAAUAGUGACAUAUUUAAUACAAACAUCUUUGUCAUGACAAUCAAGUAAAUAAGUAAGUUCCAAAACAAAUUCUUACAGAUUUUCAUUUCAUAAACCACACAUAUCAUCACAAUCAAAAUAAGAUAAAAAGUAGCAUGUCACCAAACAAGCAUAACAUUAGAAUCAUGGAGCGGGUAAUGGAUUUUUGCAUGAAGCUCGAUUAUGGCCUGCAACUUGACAUCGUGAACAGAAGAUAAGCCUUUUUGAACUAAAUUGAGACUCUAUUCGACGGUGUCGAGGCCUUCCAGGUGGUCGUUUUGAGCAUGGAGGUUUAAGUGAAGGAUAUAAGCGACCUUGAGCAUCACGAACACAUCCAUCAGCAUCAACUAUAGGCAUGUUGUGAUUUGGAAUUGAAUUGAAGUGUCCAGAAUAUAUCAACUGUUGCACUGGAAGCUUGAAAUAUGAGUCAACAUAUUCAUAAACAUCUUGUUUCAUCUGGCGUAUUGCUGCACAUGCAUUCUCACAAGGUAUUCCGGCCAUUUGCCAAGCCUUACAAGUACAUGUACGCUCUCUCAAAUUCACGUCUACAUAUACUUUCAUAUUGAAUACCUUAAACACACCACCAACAUAGGGAUAUACAGGCAAUGAUCCACUCUUUAUAAUGUUUUCCAACAGCUUUUCCUCGGUCUUUGGGCCAAUUGCAGCUUUCCAAUUUUUUGUAGAACCCAUAUGAUCACAUGCUAGAUGAGCAAACUUAUCCAUAUGUGUCAUUACUAAGUUGAAAAUUGUGUAAUGACGUUCCUCCUUCAGCCAAGCAUUGAAUGAUUCAGCAAGAUUAGUUGUCAUCUUAUCCCAUCGUUUUUUGGCAAACUUUGACAUUGCCCAAUGUUGUGGAUUGUUCUCUUCAACCCACUUCGCUAGGUCACUGUUAUAUGUCUUUAAUUUUUCCAUGGCUACAACAUAAUCAUCAUCCAACCUAGCAUACGCAACAUUAUCAAGUAGCAACAAUGCAUCCAUUUUACAUUUUUUUCCUUUCAUUCUAUGUUUCGUCACAUAGCUACUAAAAUUCUCUUUCACAUGAUGAUAACAAUAUGCAUGAUUUUCUACUCCAAAAAGUUGAGAAACACUAUGAAGGAUUGCUUGAUGCCUAUCUGAUAUUAUGACUACCUCUUUAUCUUGAAGUAUGCCCUUCAAUUUCUGCAAAAACCAUAGCCAAUCCUCAUAGUUUUUUGAACUUACCACACCAAAUGCAAUUGGGAACAUGCCAUCAUCAGCAUCAUAAGCUGUUGCAGAAAAUAAAGAGCCCCUAUACGGUCCACUCAAAUGAGUUGAGUCAAUUGCAAUAACAGGUCGACAACCCAUUAAAAACCCUUGAAUUGAAAAAGAAUGUGCAAUGAACAAUUGCCAAAAAUGCCCAUCUUGUCUGCUAUAUUCAGCAAUCGUCCCUGGAUUAAUGUCUACCAAUCUCUGACAUAACCAUGGCAACAACAUAUAUGAGUUUUCUGGAAGACCAUAUAUUCUCUCUUUUGCCAUUUCUUUGUAUGUCCAAGCUUGCUUUUAACUCAAUGAAACACCAUACCGACUCCUGAAGUCUUUGCAAAUUUGACGGGGCAAAUACUCAGGGGUUGGCCUUAUUACUUGCUCUAUGAUACGAGCACCUCUCCUUCCCCGCAUUGAAGGUUGGCUUGAACACUCAACAUCUGCACAAUGAUUGUGUACAUCAAUGAAGAUGUUAACCUUCAAAAUUUUGGUAGUGCCUACUGAAAUAGCAGUGAUUUUCCAAGGGCACCCAUUCACUAAACAGCACACAGAUAUUCGCUUUGGAGAGUUCUUUUUGAAUUUGUAUUGAAAUCUACCAACUAAUGACAUCGUAUAUAAUGCAUUUCUAAAUUCAUCUGCAUUAGGAAAACUAUGCCCACUCCUAAUAAUAGGUUGAGGACAAAGACUUAAAUCAUGUGGCAUAACUUCAGUUUCUGCACAUCUGGACAUGAAGCCUUGAGAAAGUCCUAAAUUAGACUCAUUGUUUGCUUGACAUGAUGCAACUGAAUUGUGUGUUUCCUCCGUACUAUUGUGACUGCAUAUUAUAGCACACUUAGUUAAUUAAUAUUAAAACCACUUUGCAUUAUGGAAUUAAUGACAACUAAUACAAGAUAUAUCACUUACCAAUAAUCAUUUUGCACAUUAACUAUACCUCCUUCAACUUCUACUCUUCGAGUCCGUUUUAAUACAUAAAUACGAGCAUAAUCAUAACUAUGGGAUAACAUCAUAUGCAUGUCCUCAUCAUCAUCCAACUGUUGAAGUGCAGAUGGAUCAAACUCAAGGGUGUAAUGAAAUGUAUAUCCAUUUGAAUUAAUAUCCAACCGUUCACAUGCCUUUGAAACAAAUUCAACAUAUGACAUCCUUUGUCCAAUGUACAUGCCUUUUUGUUGUCCACCCUUGUAUUGUAUUUGUUUAUCCUCCUUAGGUACAAUCUCCCCUCUUUCAUGAAGGUAGCCAUAAAUGGAAUUUUCCAAGUCCAUUUACCAAUUCAGAAGUACGUCUUCUUUCACCGACAAUCAAAUCAAUCUAUUUCACAAUAUUACAAUCAAUGAAAAUUGAACAACAAAUACAAAAUAAACAAAUGAAAAUUAUAAUCAAUUGAGAGACAUAUUUUAUAUAAUAAAUAACAAUAUUUGUUGUAUAUUAUACAUGUUAGGGAUAUGCCAAAGAACCCAUAAUUGCCCAGUUUCAUAAGAAAUUUGACAUUUUCAAAAUUUUACCUUAUCGUAAUGUUAUUGUAUUUGUAUUGUAAUUGUACUGUAUUUUUAUUAUACCUCUAUAUUUUUAUAUAAAAAAAAUUAAUUUUAUAGAUUUUUUUUUAUCCAUCAUUGGAUUAUCAUCAACAACUAUUUCACAAUAUUACAAUCAAUGAAAAUUGAACAACGGAUACAAAAUAAACAAAUGAAAAUUAUAAUAAAUUGAGAGACAUAUUUUAUAUAAUAAAUAACAAUAUUUGUUGUAUAUUAUACAUGUUAGGGAUAUGCCAAAGAACCCAUAAUUGCCCAGUUUCAUAAGAAAUUUGACAUUUUCAAAAUUUUACCUUAUCGUAAUGUAUCGUAAUGUUAUUGUAUUUGUAUUGUAAUUGUACUGUAUUUUUAUUAUACCUCUAUAUUUUUAUAUAAAAAAAAUUAAUUUUAUAGAUUUUUUUUUAUCCAUCAUUGGAUUAUCAUCAACAACUAUUUCACAAUAUUACAAUCAAUGAAAAUUGAACAACGAAUACAAAAUAAAAAAAUGAAAAUUAUAAUAAAUUCAUAAUAAAAAACAAAGUGGUCUCGUACAAAGGGGAUUUCGGUUUUCAAUGACAAUCCAAAUAUGUUUAUAAAUACACAAACAAAGUGGUCCCAAACAAGCAUGAAACAACUGAGAACAUUUUUUCUUCAAUCAUGUCAAAAAGUCUUAACAACAAAACUAAAGUGCAAACCUUUUCAAUGGAAAUCAAUAAUAAUCAUAUCAAACAACCCACCAAGCAAAUAAAUUAAAAAUAAAAACACAUCUUCAAUAUGACCUAAAUAAUAUAAAAAAAUUCAAAAUAAUAAAUUUAAAUAACAUUUAAAAAAAAAUGUAAUUUCUUUCUGAAAACCUCAUUCAAUAUUUCAGAUCUAAUAUCUUACAACUAUAUUGUUAAAAUUAUUAACUUUUCCUUCAUUCAAUUCGAUUUUUAAAUUAUUUAUUUAUUUUUCCAUAAACUGACAUUUUUUUUAUUAAAAAAAAAACUCACCUUUAAUGGAUUUCUUGCUAGAUUCACGAAAAAAAAAAAACAAGUUUUGUGUAUCGGUUGCAGAGAAUGACCUGAAGUGCGCACCUUUUUCCUUUCCCCUUUUUCUUCUACAACUCAGCUCCAGAUAGGUUAAAGAAAGGGAGAAUAAACUCUUUUCCAGAUAGGUUAAAGAAAGGGAGAAUAAACACUUUUUCACUUUCCGUUGUUUUUCACUUUCCUUGCUUUUCACUUAAGGGUAGUAUUGGCAUUAAAAUAAAAUAAGUCAUUUGGAGGAAUUAUCAUCAUUUGACCUUACCCUUUACAAGACUUAUCAAAGUUACCUACCCUCAUUGGUCAUUUAUUCCCCCAGCCUACCCUUAAGGGUAAUUCCCCCAAUAAAGGGAGAAUAAACUCAAUUUAAUAGUUGGUGGAUGCUGUUUUUACGUCAUGGAGAACGUGGUGGCACAUGCUCUGUGAGUAAAAAGUCUGGCAUUUGAAAUAUAUAAAAAAGCAAUCCCUAUUCUCUAUAUCAGUGUAUCCAUCCAUGUAAAAAAAUAUUUUGCGUUGUAAUCAACGUGGCCUAUUCAGACAAGGACCAUAUCUCAUUUGGGAUCAGUUGCGUCUCUCCUAUAACGACCAUCACCUUCCGCUCUUCUCUUUUUCUUUCUUUCUCUCUUCUCCUUCUCCUCCAUCGUUCCCUUCUCUCCCUCACUCCCAAACGGACACUAUGCCUUCCUCUCUAUCUUCAUCUCCCUCUCCGGACCUUCAUCUCCAAACCCUCUUGGCCUCCGCUCGUCCCUUCCUUCGGGGCGAGCUUGAAGCCGUCCACCCAAAGCUGCCUUCUAUCAUCUCUGUUCUCCGAUCGGUGGGCGCAGGCGAGUGUUGGCACAAGCAUGGAAGUUUCCUUGAACAUCUAGUCGACAUGUACAAGAUUCUCAAGCUCUGGAAGGCCCAAGAAUCUAAUUCAUCUUAAAGACUCUGAAAAAGUAUGGGAGGAAUGUGGGCCUACAAAUAUUUAUAGACCGCAAUCAACGUAACCUAAUUCAUCAAUCAUCAAUAUUCCUCACACCUUAAAGAAAAAAAAAAAGAACCCUAAUACAAACAAACACCUCCUAUCAUCAUCUCCAUGUUUUUUGAGAAGAAUAAAAAGAACCACCACCACAGUUGGAUUUCCACUAUCAUUUUCUUCCAUUCCCCCCUUCGGUAGCGCGUAAAAUUCAACAAUUACUCAAAAACCCAAAAAAAGAAAAUAAAAUUCCAUUUCCAAUCAUAAUUUUGAUUUUGACCAUACUCAAUGUGGCAACAACAUAUCAUUACUCUUUUUUCAUGCUAUUCUAUAUCGACCCUUUUUAGGUCGGGUCAUUUUCUCGUUUUCAAAAAUAUAGAUAAAAAAAUAUAUAUGAUUAAUUAACAAUAAUUUUAUAAUAAAAAUAAAAUUUAUGUAAUUAUACAAGUAUGUUUUAUGUUUUCAUUAUACCUCAUAUUAUGGAUGAUUUUCAAUUUAUGUAAUUAAAAGUUUGUGGUUCCUUCUCUUUAAAUUUCUUGUUAAAUAUCUUGUGUAUUUUCUGAUUUCUCUUCUUUGUUUUGAAUUUUGGCAUAAUUCAUGUUUUCAUUGCAUAUAACCUUGUCUUGGGUGUCUAUGGUAUUAGAGCCACGGGAAGGGAAGUCGGGUUUGUUUUGGGUGUUUUGACCCUAAACUUGUGAAUUGUCUUAAAUCCUUAAUUUUCUUCCUAUACUGUCUUACUUCAUCAUAGAGUUCCUUAAUGCUUAUUUCUUUGGGAGACUACUGAUCAAACCUGUUUAAGAUUUCAUUAAGGUUAUAAGGAUUUAUAGUCUUCUUAACUUCUGGCUUAAUAACAAACUUUUUAAACACUUCAUAAAGAUCUUGCUUAGUCUUUUCAUCUUCAAUUUUCCUUAAAAUAUCUAGGACAAGUUCUUGGUCUUUGCUUAUGACAUUUAUGGUUUUGGGACGACAAUUACAAUUACCCUUAACACAUUCUUCUUGGUUACUAGAAGUUUGGCUAGAGACUUCACCACUACUGUCUAGUUGAUUAAUAUCAUCUUCAUUAUUUGAAUCAAUCUUUGACUCAGAUUAUGAGGUUUUUAACAAGACUUCGCAGAGCAUAUUUUUUAAAUCUUCUGAGACAUUAAGAUUAUUAAUCUUUUGUCUAACCUUACAAUCUUUUUUAUAGUGGCCAACCUUGCUAUACUUAAAGCAAAUAAUUGGCUUGGAAUCUAAAGGGGCUUCUACCUUUUUAUGGGCUUCUUUGUUUAUCCUUUUUUGGACGUGUCUUGAAUGCUUGGUUUCAUUCAUCCUAUAAUUUCCAUAAGUAUCUCUCUUGCUAUGGUAAAAUUUAUUUUUGCUAGGCUUCCUAAUUGUUUGUUGCUUAGAGGGAGGCUUAGUUUCUUUUUAGCUGAAACCAAAUUGGCUACAAAAUAACCCAAAUUCAUUCUUGUAGAUCCUUUGUUCAUUCUUCAUUUGUUGCUUAAGCUUGAAGUCAUUACACAACUUGAUCCCUUUAGCUGUGGCAAUGCUUAUAAUCUCACCAUAGGUUAGCUUAUCAUAAGGGAUUUGACCAUUAUAAUGUUCCCUUAUAUUAAUCCUAAUUCUUUCAGAGAAAAGUCUAGGUAGACCUAAGAUGAAUUUUUCUUUCUGAAAAGAUUGGUUACAGUCUGAUCUUAGCAUGACUUUGGUUGGGAAGACUUCCUUAUACCAUCUAAAGUCAUGAAGCUUGGGACACUUAAGGUUGGUUAAGAGAUCUGCAAUCUUAUCCUUAAUUUUUGUAGGAUCUCCAAUGAAGUGCUUGGAUAUUGAAUAGAUUAGAGUAGCCACUACAUCCUCUAUAUCUUGACCAUCUUCGUCCUUAACAACUUCAUUAUUUUCAUUAAUCCUAUAGGCUUUUAGGAUACUAUUUCUGUCAUCAAAAGUGAGAUAGUUAUCCCACCAACCCUUAAGUUGUCCUAUAAACCCAACUACAAUUGUCUGAGCAACAGCAUGGUCGGGUAGUCUAUUGUUUAACUUAUAGGUUGUACUAACCAUGGUCAUUUCUUGAAGCUUAGUGAGUAUGUUAUACUCGGUCAUACCAUCUAUGUUCCAUUCAUAGAUAGUACCAUUAGUGUAUGAAGCUUGAGUAUACUGAUUUCUUUCCUCAAAUUGCAUAUUAGGAAAGGUAGGUCUAGGGUAGUAAUUCUUAGUCUUAAAGGCUUCCAGAUUGUUGAUAUUUUUUGAAACAUUUUGAUUAGAGGUUCCUCAAACAUCUUAAUUAGUUCAUCAACUUCUUCUUCUGAACUAAUAUCACCCUUAACCAUAUUGAUUCUCAUAUGAGAAGGCUGAGUUGUCAAAGGGACCACAGGGUUAUCCUUAAUCUUUUGGUUAAUCCUAUCAAUAAAAUCUUGAUUGAUUUAGGGAUUUUCCUAGAAUUCCUUAGAGAAUUCAUAUGGUUUAAUUUCUUUCUUAUUAGUGAUGUCACUAGUAAACCAUAUCUUGGUGUUGUUAAUACACUUACAAGGAUAGUCUGGAUAUUCCUCUUGUUUGAAGAGUUUAAACCAGAUCCAAAACUUAAUGUUUUUCUUUUCUUGUCUUAAGUAAGCAUAGAAUUCUUCUUAGUAGAGGGUUCUAAUGUCUUUAGGGACAGUGCUAAAGAACCAAUCUUUUAUUUCCUUAUUGGCUUCAGAAUAAAAGUCCUUUCUUAAAAGAUCUUUGUUGAUCUCAAAAUCCUUAUCAUCAAAGCUUAUUGUGUUAAUCAUCUAGGAAUACGUAGGAGACAUAAUAGGAGAUUCAUCCUGAUUUGAUCCUUGAGUAGACUCUUGAUCCUCAGUGUAAAAGGGUCUGGCCAUGUUGGUGUGACUUUUAACACCUGUUAACUUAAUAUUCUUAGGAUUUGUUGAACCGGAACCUUCUUCUUCCUUAGUGGUUCUAACUGGGAUAGAAGAGCUUGAAGCUCUAGAGGGCUCAAAAUUUAAAAUUCUAGGGCUACUAGAAUGACGGAAAGAGUUAGAGAAAAUCAGAUCUCCUCCUCCAUCAAGAUAUUGAACAAUCUGUUCAAUGCUUUCAAAUCUCUGUUCUAUAGCUGGAACGACAUUAGUAAAAUGCCAAUUUUCAGGAAACUCAACCUCAUUCCACUUGAUUUUCAUGGGGACUAUGAAAUUAGACUUGUUUAUCACAUCUGAGUGGAAGAGAGUGCUCUUACCCUUGGGAUUGGUGCACAAUGCUCCAAAUCCAACACUUGUGGUCAUGCUCUUAUAGGCAAACCUGGUUAUGAUGGAAACAUGAUUGUUUCCUUUCUUGAACUUAAAGCCAUGGGUCUUAACAUGAAGGACAAUCGAAUCUAAGAUAUCGACAUCUCUUAGUCUAACUGUGAAGUUAGGGAAACACUGGAAAUAGACAGGGCCAUCAUUCAGUCCAGCUUGGACUGCACCUAUAAUAGAAUCUCGAUAAUCGAGAUGUCUAUUAUCUCUUAGACACAUGACAAUAGAGGUGUUUAAACCUAAUCUUGUCAAAGGCUUAGCUGCAACUUAAAUCAUACCAAAGUGUAUGAAGUUGUAGUGGUCUUUCUUAUGUUUUUCAACUGACUUACUAUCCAAGAGUCUUAUGACUUGAUCGUCUUGUUCUAAACUUACUGACAUUUCAGAGGUUCUAAUGUGUAGUCUGUGAAGAACUUAAAGGUUCAUUUCUUAUAAAUUUCUUGAUUAGAUACCUUGGGUAACUUCCAAUCAUCUAAAUCAUUUUGGAUCUUAGGAUAAUUGAUCCCUUCACUGUUUACAACAGUAUCUUGAGAAUUAAUGGAUUUCCUAGACAUGGUUCUGAUAAUCAAACUCAUUUUAGGGUUUUAAUCUAGAGCCUAAUAGCAUAUUGACAGACUUAAUGAGACAUCUCCCUAGCCCCUUAUAGCCCUAACAAACGCCUAUCCACGGCUAACAAUGGGCUCAACCAGAUAGGGAUCGCACUCCUCGGCACACUACUACUUAUCCUAGGAUAGCUUAAAACACCCAAAACAAACCCGACUUCCCUUCCCGUGGCUCUGAUACCAUAGAAUUUUAUCCAUUCCUCUCAUUCUUCGUACCCUUCCCAUUCUCUACUUCUUUGAAUUUUUAAAAUAAUUUUGGGACUUCGCAUGGCUUGGAUAUUGUUGAAAUAGAUUCAUUACACUUAGUAGGUGUUCAAUUGAUGCCCUAAAAAAUAAAACUCCAAAAAUACUAAAAAAUUAGAAAGAGUAGGUGUUUUAAAAAUCCAUUCCUCCUUCUCCACUUCUUUGAUGUUUUAAAAAAUUUCUGAGACUUCAUAUGCCUUUGAUAUUAUUUAAAUAGGUUCAUUACACUUAGUAGGUGUUCAAAUGAUGUCCGAAUAAACCAAACUCCAAAUAUACUUAAAAAUUAGAAAAUGUAUGAAGAAUGUGAAGAAUCCUCACAUUCUUCGUACGCUCCCCAUUCUCCACUUCUUUGAUGCUUUAAAAAUGUUUAGGGACUUCAUAUGGCUUAGAUAUUGUUUAAAUAAGUUCAUUAUACUUAGUGGGUGUUCAAAUGAUGCCUGAAAAAAAAAAUCAAAUUCCAAAAAUACUUAAAAAUUAGAAAAGGUACGAAGAAUGUGAGAAAUCCUCACAUUCUUCAUAUCCUCCCCAUUGUUCACUUCUUUGAUGUUUUAAAAAUUUUUUGGGACUUCAUAUGGCUUAGGUAUUGUUUAAAUAGGUAUACUUAGUGGGUGUUCAAAUGAUGCUUGGAAAAAUCAAACUCCAAAAUACUUAAAAAUUAGAAAGGGUAUGAAGAAUGUGAGGAUUCCUCACAUUCUUUGUAUCCUCCCCAUUCUACACUUCUUUGAAUUUUUAAAAUAAUUUUGAGAAUUCGUAUGACUUGAAUAUUGUUUAAAUAAGUUCAUUACACUUAGUGGGUAUUCAAAUGAUACACGAAAAAAUAAAACUCCAAAAAUAGUAAAAAAUUAGAAAUCCUCACAUUCUUCGUACCCUCCCCAUUUUCCACUUCUUUGAUGUUUUAAAUUUUUUUUUUUUUUGUGAUUUCAUAUGCCUUUGAUAUUAUUUAAAUAGGUUCAUUACACUUAGUGGGUGUUCAAAUGAUGCAAAUUAGAAAGGGUACGAAGAAUGUGAGGAUUCCUCACAUUCUUCGUACCCUCAUUCUCCACUUCUUUGAAUUUUCAAAAUAAUUUUAGGACUUUGUAUGACUUGGAUAUUGUUUAAAUAUGUUCAUUACACUUAGUGGGUGUUCAAAUGAUGCAAAUUAGAAAUGGUACGAAGAAUGUGCGGAUUCCUCAUAUUCUUUGUACCCUCCCCAUUCUUCACUUCUUUGAUGUUUUAAAAAUGUUUAGGGACUUCAUAAGGCUUAGAUAUUGUUUAAAUAAGUUCAUUACACUUAGUGGGUGUUCAAAUGAUGUCCGAAAAAAUCAAACUCGAAAAAUUAGAAAGGUUAUGAAGAAUGUGAGGAAUGUUCACAUUCUUCAUACUCUCUUUAUUCUCCACUUCUUUGAAUUUUAAAAUAAUUUAGGUAUUUUUUUAUGGCUUGGAUAUUGUUUAAAUAGGUUCAUUAGACUUAGUAGGUGUUCAAACGAUGUCCAAAAAAAGCAAAAUCCAAAAAUACUAAAAAAUUAGCAAGAGUACAAAAAAUUAGCUUGGUUCAUUAUCCACUUAUUUGAAUUUUAAAAAAAAAUUGGAACUUCAUAUGGCUUAGAUUUUGUUUAAAUAAGUUCAUUACGCUUAGUGGAUUUUCAAAUGAUGUUUGAAAAAAUCAAACUAGAAAAAUACUUAAAAAUUAGAAAGGGUACGAAGAAUAUGAGGAAUCUUCACAUUCUACGUACCCUCCCCAUUUUUCACUUCUUUGAAUUUUAAAAAUAAUUUUGGGACUUCGUAUGACUUGAAUAUUGUUUAAAUAAGUUCAUUACACUUAAUGUGUGUUCAAAUUAUGCCAAAAAAAAAUCAAAAUCUUGAAAUACAAAAAUACUAGCUAGGGUACAAAGAAUGUGAGGAAUCCUCACAUUCUUCAUACAUUCCCAUUAUCCACUGAUUUGAAUUUUUUUUAUUUAAAAAAUGGAACUUCAUAUGGCAUUGAUAUUGUUUAAAUAGGUUCGUUAUACUUUGGCGGUGUUCAAUUGAUUUCCGAAAAAAUAAAAAUACAAAAAAAGAAAAAAAUUAGCAAGGCUCACAUUCUUUGUGUCCUCCCUAUUCUAUGUUUAUUUGAUUUUUAAAAAAAAAUUUGUGACUUGAUAUGACUUGAAUAUUGUUUAGAUAAGUUUAUUACAUUUGGAGGGUGUUAAAUGAUCCCUUCAAAAUCGAAAUUUACUAAAAAAUCAACGAGGAGUAUGAAUUUCCAUAUUAUUACUAAUUUACCUUUUUCCUAUUUUCAAUAUUUCAACCAAUUUUUUGUGUAAUUCAAUUUAAACAUUAAGAAAUAAUUUAUUUAUAUAUUUCUCCAUUAAUAAUUAGUACACAAUUAAUUUAAUUUUAAAUUAAUAUAUUUUUUAAAAAUUUAUUUCUGUUUUUUUCCCUUUUUUUUCACUUCAUAAACCAAUUAUAUUAUUUUUCACACUUCAAAUAUUCAUCCAAUUUUUUCAAUAAAUAAUUUGAAGUUAAAAUAAAUUAAAUUUACUUUACCCUAAUUUAUAAAUUAUAUCACCAAAUUAUUUUUUUUUUUAAAAAUUAGUUUAUUUUAAAUUUAAUUUUCAUCUUUAUCACUUUAUAUUACAAAAAUAAAUAAAUUGCAAUUUUGUUUUCCAAAAUUUUCUUUAUUUUUCUGCUUCAUAAAAAAAAAUUCCAAAAGGAAAUAAUUGGUCAUUGUAGUAGAAGUUAACAAUAUGAGCUGUAUGGGAUUAGUUCCCAUGGAGGGUAACCAAAAAGAAUUUGUUUUCUUUUAUUUUGUAUUUAUCUUGCAUGUCAUGUCUUAAUCUAUUAGACUAAAAAGAUUGGUAUGGUGUGAUUAUCCAAUUAGCUUAAAAAGGUAGGUAUGGUAUGAUUUUGGUAACGUGGCAUAACCCUUCUCUAUAUCCAUCUUCCAUCUUCCAUCUUCUGCGUUGGAAUCAACGUGGCCUAUUCAGAUAAGGACUCUUAUCUCCUUCCGUGUUUACCGUUCCACACUACAACAGACGAAUUGGGAUCGGUUACGUCUCUCCCUUUGGGCGAUACCCACCAUCUCCUUCCGAUCUUCUCUUUUUCUUUCUUUCUCUCUUCCCCUUCUCUUCCUCACACCCAAACGGACACUAUGCCUUCCUCUCUAUCUUCAUCUCCCUCUCCGGACCUUCAUCUCCAAACCCUCUUGGCCUCCGCUCGUCCCUUCCUCCGGGGCGAGCUUGAAGCCGUCCACCCAAAGCUGCCUUCUCUCAUCUCUGUUCUCCGAUCAGUGGGCGCAGGCGAGUGCUGGCACAAGCAUGGAAGUUUCCUUGAACAUCUAGUCGACAUGUACAAGAUUCUCAAGCUGUGGAAGGCCCAAGAAUCGGUAUGUCUCUGCGGCCUCUUCCACUCUGCAUACUCCAAUUCCUAUGUCAACCUCGCCAUCUUCGAACCCUCCACCGGCCGCGACACCGUCCGCGCCCACGUGGGCGAUGCGGCCGAGGAGCUCAUAUAUUUGUUUUGUGUCGUCCCGCGGCAGCCCCUCAUCCACGAUGAUCUCCUCUUCCGGUAUAGUGACGAUGAGCUGGUGGAGCACCUCAAGGCUUCGGAGGUUUCGGUGAGGAAUGCCAAGGAGGGCGGUGUGUUUAAUGGAGAUGAGGCUUGGAGGAAGAAGGUGAAUUCCCUUGUUCCUCCUGGUGGGGUUACGGUGAAGCACAUCAAGACUGGUGAAGAUGUGUUGGUAUCGAGAAGGGUUGUGGCCAUUUUCGUGAUGAUGACAAUGGCUGAUUUCAGUGACCAGCAUUACGGGUUUCAGGACGCCUUGUUUGACAAUUCUAAUGGCCGCCUUGAGUUUUCUGGCAACAGCUAUGGAGCUUUGUGGCCUGGGGAUGGCAAGCCUGGGCUGUGGUUGAAUUCAAUAUCAAGAAUGGGUGCGGUUUACUCAUUGCUAGUGAGGGAGGAGGAGAUUUUCAUCGAAGAGAGGAAAAGAGUUGGUGGGGAUCAAGUGGUGAAAGGCCGAGAUGAGGAGUUAGAGCUUGUGAUACCACCGGUUUUGGAGAACUGCACGAGGGUUUUGGGCGCAGAGGAGCAAAUAGAAGCAACAGAUCUGUAUUGGGAAGCUGUUUGUGAAGGGUCAAAGAGAGGGUUGGAUUGGGCUGAGAAGUUGUUGGGGAGGUGUGUCGAGAAGAACCCAUUUGUGGGGGAGCCACAUGUGGUGUUGGCUCAGAUUUACUUGACAAAUGGGAGGUUUGAGGAGGCCGAGAGAGAGGCUGAGAAGGGGCUGAAGCUCAUGCUGGAGUGGGGGAAUCCAUGGGACAAGAGGAUGACUUGGGAAGGAUGGAUCGCCUGGAACAGGGUUUUGCUGAUGAAGGCUAAGGAGAGGUCAUGGCCAAACACUUCUUGGGGGAUCCUCAACUUAGGGCUUGUCAAGUAAAUCAUUGAUGCAUACAACACAUUUAGAAGACCAUCUUCCUCUUCCAUCUGAUUUAUGAAUCUACUGUGAAUAAAUGCUUUUAAUUUUAUUAAACUAUGAAUUGUGAAGCAAUCAAAAGAUAAUGGUUGUGUUUGAGUGCAGAUCAUUUUCUAUGAAUAAAUUAAUGGUUGUGUCAAGAACUAGGCAUGUCUUCUACUGAAAUUAAUCUUGGAAGUGAUGCACUAUUUGCCCUUUUCCUAGUUUGGUUGCUUUGUGAAUGGUGGGUGGGGAACCUCAAUGGUAAAUCCAAAUGCAAGAAAGAACGGGACAUGUAUGGCCCAUAAAUCCUCAAAAUUCGUCAUUGUCUGCGUGUUAGUGCUCUUUUAUAGCAUGUGCAUUGUAUGGUUGCCUCUCUAUGGAAGUUAUGACCCACUUUCCUUUCUAUAAGCAUUCCCUUCCUAAAACAUCUAAGGAUCUUGGCUUUUCUUCACACAGAACAAAAUAAAUAAAAAAGAAAAAAUUAAGUAAAAAAAAUCAUAUGAGAUUGAAGAAAAAUGAAAUAAAAUAAAAUAAAAGAUUAUGUAAUUCACAAGUUAGUAAGGUAAUCACAUGCAUAUUUAAAGUCAAAAUAAUUCAAGCAAUUUUCUAAUAAAUAAGCAAAUAAAUAAAUAAUUAAACAAAACAAAUAUAAUUAUUAAAUGAGUAAAUAAAUAAAUCACAACAAUUCAAACAUUUUUUUAUUAAGUCAAUAAAUAAAUAAAUAAAACAAAAUAGAUAUAAUUAUUACACACAUGCAAUAGAAAAAACUAAAUGUUAAAAUGAUGCGAUAAUCAAAUAUAAAAAAUCGAAACAUCGAACUCACAUAAUUAAAUAUUGAAAACUCACCUCAAGCAAUCAAAAUCAAGCCAUAUACUCACUCAAACCCAAAAACCAAGCAAUCAAAAUGAGAAAUCAAACCUAAGUGAAUUGAGCCUAGUGAAGUGUCUAAGUAAUCCCAUCCUAGAAAAUGUAACCAAGUGCCCUUAGUGGAAAGUGUCUAAGUAAUCUAAGUGGAAAAUGUUUGAGUAAGCUAAGCUUGAAAUCUAACCUAAGGUCCACCUAAGUGAGUUAAGUGGAAACACAACUAAGUGAAACUUAACGUAAGCUUGAAAGGCAGCCAAGGUCAUGACAAUGAGGGUCCAAAUGAGCCCUUCAAUGAAGGAUUCCUAAAGAUGGGCCAGAAAAAAUAGGUCAUAUGAGUGUCAAUGAGUCACCAAGGGACGACUACGAGUUAAGAGAGAAGCAAAGGAAAGCACCUAGUAUCACAUGUGCUAAGAUAACAAAAUGGAUGAUCUAUAACAAUAUUGUACCAUUUUCCUUUUCAACUAGGGAUGGUAAUGUUGCCUAAACUAUGUGCCAACAUUUGGAGACAAAAAAAAAAAAAAUCACCUCCCAAUGCAUAAAGAAUCCUUUAAAGACAAAAUAAUUUCAUCUUCUAAUGAAUUCUUACAUCUCCAAAUAAUUAACCAUGAUUUUUUAAUUCAUUUCAUGACGAAAGUUACGAAUUUGCGUCACAAAAAUUUUCUUUGAAAAAUAUAUUUGGUUAUAAUUUUAUUUUUUGUAACAAGGUAAAUAAUUUUAGAGAUGAAAUAGUUUGUCUCUAAGAGUUCAUUUCAUAUUUGGAAUAUGAAUGAAAGUAAGAACAUAAAUAAAGGUGAAUUACAAUAAUGCAUAAGAGAGGGAGUUUUUUAAGCAUAUUAUCAUAGCAUUGGGGUAUUUCCUACACUCAACAUCAAAAAUCUUUCAUACCACAACAUCUAUCACUUUGGUCUUUUUUUUUUUUUUUUUCAUUUUUGAGACAUUAAAAGUUGUUUUUUAGACUCAAUAAGAACUUAUAUGUUUGUUUGUCUAAUUAACGAUCAUUAAUACCACAAAACUUGACACUUCAUGCCUUACUUGGAUUGACUUUUAAGAAGUAAAAAGCUUUAUUUCAAGCUUAAUAAGAACUUUUAUGUCUAUUUGACUAAUUUUAUUUAAAGAGCUUAUGACUUACAAAAAAUAUUAAUAUUAAAGUUAGCAAAAUAUUACUUUUUGUAAAAGCUUUAUUUUAACUUCUACAAGAAGUUUUUCAUGUUUGAUAAAACUUUUACACUACUAAUAUAACUGUUUAAAAAUUAUGACUUUGAUUUUAGUUUUAGUUUUUUGUUAAAACCUAAAAUAAAUAAAAAAUUAUGCCCUUUAUCUUUAUGUGGAGUAGGAUUAAGUGUCUAGGAACUAAACCAGGCUUAGCACAAUAUAGUAAGCAUAACCUACUUGUCAUUAAUGAUAGAAGAAACAAUAAUACAUAUAUUAAAGUUGUUUUAUUGAAAAAUUUUAUUAUAUAUACAAAUUUUAAAACUCAUUACUAUUAAAAAUGAUGAUACAUAUGUUAGGAUAGAACCCUUAAAAGCAUGACAUUAUGUAAUAAACUUUUGGUUUUUAUUAUUUAUUUAAUAAAGUUCUAGUUCACUUUUAUCUAUCAUAUUUCCACGUCUUAUAUCUUGUAAGCAUUCUAGUUUGCAUCUUUUGCAUUGUACAUGACUUGGGUGCAUUAGGAGUAACAUGAAAGAUCUAAGUCAUGGGUUCUUUGUAAAUAGAUGACUUGUUCAUAAUCGGUUCAUGGGUCUAGGUAACCCAUUAGAAGAUGUAGUGCAUCACCUCCUAAUUAGAGGGAGGACUGGUCUUGGCUAUUGGGGUGAGUCUCUUAUGGUAAGUGCACUGGUGUGUAUGGUCGCACAUUGGAUAAGACCUAUGGUGAGUUAUGACUUCAGGCUAUCAAGUAGUCAUGACAUCACCAAGUUGCUUCAUUGUGUUGUCUCUCAACCUUGAGAGAAUAUUGAGAUUGUACUGAAGUUAGUAGUGACUUUGACCUACGGAUAAGAUCGUAAACUGAUCAUGUAUUCCUUAUGGAUUAGGUCACUAUUAAUGGAAGUUGGUAGCAAUAUAUAUUCUCAAUAAAGGCACUAUGAUAUCUCUUGGGAUUGAGACAGUGUGACCCAAUGGGUGAUCCUAAGGAGAUGUGUUCAUGGAAACUAUGGUAAUAGUAGUUUCUUAAGUGAAACUUGACAUAAGCUCUUUGAAAACUAAAAUAUGUUAAUUGAACACACAAUCGAAGGAUUUGUAAUUCAAGGAUGGUAGAGGUAGUCUUGAAAGGGCGAUAGUUUUCACCUUGUUAAACUACGAAUACUAGUUCAUGGGGAGACUGAACACAAUGGAUAGCAUGUCACAAACCCGAGCACUUGGCAUCUCGUUGUUAUUUACAUAGAAUACUAGAGUUCAAUUGAUUCUAUGUGGUGGGAUGUUGAAUCAACUUCAAAAUUGGAUUUUGAGGAAGUCGAUAUUACUAUGAGUCCCAAUGGUCCCCGCUCUGAGCUCAUAUACCUUGUUGGCAUAGGUUAUGAAAGUUGAAUUGACUCUACGUUCACUUUUGUGCAUAAGGGCGUUUUGAUAAUUAUACAAGGUUGCACAAGAUUAAGUGAACAAGGUCUCUAGAUUAUGCUAAUUGAUUAAUUAGUAGGUCUUGUUAAGUUAUUAAUUAAUUAGGAACCGUUUUGGGUUAGAUUAAGUGACUCAAACCCUUAGUGGGCUCAAGUCACCUAAGCCCAAUAAGAAGCCCUAUAAAUAUCGCCUUAGGGGUUAGGGUUCUCAUAACCUUUUCUAGAGAGUUGUCUUCCAUUUCCAGAGAGAGAGAGAGCCAUUGCCUCCACUCUCUUUUCCAUCCUCACCAAAAGUGUGUCAAGAUCAAGAUUCGAGUCAUCGAGCGAAAAACUUCAGGUUUACGAGACUUCUGCGAUUUCAUUCUUCAUCUUCAACAUGUGAAUUUGAUUCGGGAACACCUAAAUCUGAGGUAUGGUUUUCAUUAAUACUUUUCGAAUCCCUUUAAAGUUUAAAAAUUCUUUUUUGUUCGCUGAGCAUAGGAUUUAAAAAAAGCCUAGGAUAAUUAUGCAUGCUCCUGACCUAAUUCGGGUUUGGGAAACUAAAAUAUCUGAGGUCUUCCCAUCAAUAUUUAGUUUGAAUAUAUUGGAGGAAAAAAAAUGAUACUUAGACAAAUAUUUUUUAUAUAAAAAUAUUAAUAAUUUUAUUUAUAAAUUUAUAUUUUUCUUCUACUUAAUUAGUAUACAAAAUAUAUGAUAAGAUAAUUAAAAUCAACUUUUUGCUUUUAUUGAAUAAGGGUUCGUUUAAUUUUUAUUUAUUUUUCUUCUAACUCAUUGAAAAGACAAAAUUCAAAAUAAUUUUAUUGGUAAAGGUGGAAUUAACUUAAUUACUUCUAGAGGUGGUAUGCUCGACCUAUUUUUAAAUACAAUUUUUAAUUAGUAUAUUUAUUUAUGCAACAUAAGUUAUUUUACUAUUGGUUUCCAGCACCAUUAAUAAAAAAAAUGUCACCGAUUAAUUUUUAAAAAAAAUCCAAGAAAGGGAAAAAAAUUACCAUUAGGUUUUUGACCUAUUUUAACAUUCUUAACUACUAGUAAGAACAUGAUUUUGAAGGAAACAAAGAAAACAUGAAGGCUCCAAGUACUUUAGAAAAAUUCCAAGUUGCAAACAAAAGAAGAACACUAUUAUUGAUAUUUUUCUCUUAAAAUCAAUAGAUUGAUGCUUUUAUUUUUUAUUCACUAAUCUCUUUUUUAUGAUCAUUUUCUUCACCAAUGUCAUAAGCACAAUUUUUUUUUUUUACCAAAUUAAGGUUUAUAAUUUUUGUACAUAUCAUACUCGUAACCAUCAUAAGGCAUAACUCUCUACUUUCUUGCCAAACCAAAAGAUACACAUGAAAAAUAUGUAAAUAUUUUCCACUUUUUCUUUUACUAACUCGAUGGUUGAAAUGAAAUCUAAUAAUUUGAUACAAUAUAUCGAUGAGAUACAAAUUUAUCAAAACCCAUAAAUAUUGAGAAAACUCCAUAAAAUGAUAGAAGAAACAACAAUACAUAUAUUGAAACUAUUUUAUCGAAAAGUUUACUAUAUAUACAAAUUUAAAAACACAUCACUAUUAAAAACGAUAAUAUAUUUGAUUUGAAUAUAUUAAAGAAUAAAAAAAAUGAUGAUAUUUAAAUAAGUAUUUUUUAUAUGAAAAUAUUGAUAGUUUUAUUUAUAAAUUUAUAUUUUCUUGUGUUUAAUUAGUAUAAAAAAUAUGUAAUAAGAUAAUUAAAAUUAACAUAUUUAUAGUAAUUUUAUUUCAAUUAAUUAAUAAUAUAAUAUAUAAAAGAUAUUAUAAUGUACUACCGCAAUGUCAUAUGGGCAAGUGGAAGAACAAUAAACUCAAUUUAAUAGCUGGUGGGUGCUGUUUUUACGUCAUGGAGAACGUGGUGGCACAUGCUCUCUGAGCAUUUGAAAUAUAUAAAAAAGCAAUCCCUAUUCUCUAUAUCAGUGUAUCCAUCCAUGUAAAAAAAUAUUUUGCGUUGUAAUCAACGUGGCCUAUUCAGACAAGGACCAUAUCUCCUUUGGGAUCAGUUGCGUCUCUCCUAUAACGACCAUCACCUUCCGCUCUUCUCUUUUUCUUUCUUUCUCUCUUCUCCUUCUCCUCCAUCGUUCCCUUCUCCCCCUCACUCCCAAACGGACACUAUGCCUUCCUCUCUAUCUUCAUCUCCCUCUCCGGACCUUCAUCUCCAAACCCUCUUGGCCUCCGCUCGUCCCUUCCUUCGGGGCGAGCUUGAAGCCGUCCACCCAAAGCUGCCUUCUAUCAUCUCUGUUCUCCGAUCGGUGGGCGCAGGCGAGUGCUGGCACAAGCAUGGAAGUUUCCUUGAACAUCUAGUCGACAUGUACAAGAUUCUCAAGCUCUGGAAGGCCCAAGAAUCGGUAUGUCUCUGCGGCCUCUUCCACUCUGCAUACUCCAAUUCCUAUGUCAACCUCGCCAUCUUCGACCCCUCCACCGGCCGCGACACCGUCCGCGCCCACGUGGGCGAUGCGGCCGAGAAGCUCAUACAUUUGUUUUGUGUCGUCCCGCGGCAGCCCCUCGUCCACGAUGAUCUCAUCUUCCGGUGCAGUGACGAUGAGCUGGUGGAGCACCUCAAGGCUUCGGAGGUUUCGGUGAGGAAUGCCAAGGAGGGCGGUGUGGUUAAUGGAGAUGAGGCUUGGAGGAAGAAGGUGAAUUCCCUUGUUCCUCCUGAUGGGGUUACGGUGAAGCACAUCAAGACUGGUGAAGAUGUGUUGGUGUCGAGAAGGGUUGUGGCCAUUUUCGUGAUGAUGACAAUGGCUGAUUCCAGUGACAAGCAUUACGGGUUUCAGGACGCCUUGAGUUUUCUGGCAACAGCUAUGGAGCUUUGUGGCCUGGGGAUGGCAAGCCUGGGCUGUGGUUGAAUUCAAUAUCAAGAAUGGGUGCGGUUUACUCAUUGCUAGUGAGGGAGGAGGAGAUUUUCAUCGAAGAGAGGAAAAGAAUUGGUGGGGAUCAAGUGGUGGAAGGCCGAGAUGAGGAGUUAGAGCUUGUGAUACCACCGGUUUUGGAGAACUGCACGAGGGUUUUGGGCGCAGAGGAGCAAAU
rnacentral:lncRNA from 1 species